rnacentral:rRNA from 1 species
AUUGUCAAAAGGGAAACAACCCAGACCACCAGCUAAGGUCCCUAAUCAUAACUAAGUGGGAAAGGAGGUGGAGAUUCAUAAACAACCAGGAGGUUGGCUUAGAAGCAGCCAUACCUUUAAAGAGUGCGUAAUAGCUCACUGGUCGAGAGUCUCUGCGCCGACAAUGUAACGGGGCUAAGUUAUGAACCGAAGCUGUGGAAUUGCGCAAGCAAUUGGUAGGAGAGCGUUCUGUAGGCCGUUGAAGGAGAAGCGUAAGCAACUCUGGAGGUAUCAGAAGUGAGAAUGCAGGAAUAAGUAGCGAGAAGGGAGGCGAGAAUCCUCCCCGCCGGAAGACCAAGGUUUUCAGGGUAAAGCUUGUCUUCCCUGAGUAAGCCGGGACCUAAGCCGAGGCUAUAGUGCGUAGGCGAAUGGAAAACAGAUUAAUAUUUCUGUGCCAGUCAUAUUUUGUGAUGGAGGGACGCAGAAGGGUAUGUACGCGGAAGAACGGUAGUUUCCGUAAAAGCAUGUAGAAUGACUUGAUAGGUAAAUCCGUCAAGUUAGAUUUGAGGUGUGAUAUAUAGUCAUAAGAUGAAUGUACAAAUCCCACGCUGCCGAGAAAAGCUUCUAACGUUAAGGUAUGACUGCCCGUACCCGAAACCGACACAGGUGGUCAGGAUGAGAAAUCUAAGGCGGACAGGCUAACUCUCGUUAAGGAACUCUGCAAAAUUGCCCCGUAACUUCGGGAGAAGGGGUGCCCCUGAGUGUGAGCAUACACGCGAUGUUAAGCGCUUGGGGGUCGCAGUGAAGAGGCUCAAGCAACUGUUUAACAAAAACACAGGUCUAUGCUAAGCUGUAAGGCGAUGUAUAUGGGCUGACACCUGCCCAGUGCCGGAAGGUUAAGAGGAGGAGUGAGAGCUCCGAAUUGAAGCCCCGGUGAACGGCGGCCGUAACUAUAACGGUCCUAAGGUAGCGAAAUUCCUUGUCGGGUAAGUUCCGACCUGCACGAAUGGUGUAAUGAUUUGAGCGCUGUCUUGACGGGAGGCCUGGUGAAAUUGUAUUACCGGUGAAGAUACCGGUUACCUACAGUAGGACGGAAAGACCCCAUGGAGCUUUACUGUAGCUUGGUAUUGGGUUUUGGCAUUGCAUGUAUAGGAUAGUUGGGAAACUAUGAUGGUAUGGCGCUAGCUAUAUCGGAGUUGUCGGUGGAAUACCAACCAUUCAAUGUUGAAAUUCUAAUCUGUGGUUUGGAGCCACGGAGACAGUGCUAGGUGGGCAGUUUGACUGGGGCGGUCGCCUCCGAAAGAGUAACGGAGGCGUUCAAAGGUUCUCUCAGGUUGGAUGGAAAUCAACCGCAGAGUGCAAUGGCAUAAGAGAGCUUGACUGCGAGACUGACGGGUCGAGCAGGUGCGAAAGCAGGACAUAGUGAUCCGGCGAUUCCGAAUGGAAGGAUCGUCGCUCAACGGAUAAAAGCUACCCUGGGGAUAACAGGCUGAUCCUACCCGAGAGUCCAUAUCGACGGUAGGGUUUGGCACCUCGAUGUCGGCUCAUCGCAUCCUGGGGCUGGAGAAGGUCCCAAGGGUUGGGCUGUUCGCCCAUUAAAGCGGUACGUGAGCUGGGUUCAGAACGUCGUGAGACAGUUCGGUCCCUAUCCACUGUAGGCGUUAGAAUAUUGAGAAGAUCUGUCCUUAGUACGAGAGGACCGGGAUGGACAAACCUCUGAUGUACCAGUUGUCACGCCAGUGGCACAGCUGGGUAGUCACGUUUGGAACAGAUAACCGCUGAAAGCAUCUAAGCGGGAAACUGACUUCAAGAUAAGUAUUCU